CGGAACACGUACACAACCUUCCGAUAAGUGGGGAAUAGCCCAGAGAAAUUUGGAUUAACACCCCGUAACAUAUAGAGUAGGCAUCUUCUUUAUAUUAUAGCUUCGGCGCUUAUUGAUGGGUGUGCGUCUGAUUAGGUAGUUGGCGGGGUAACGGCCCACCAAGCCUACGAUCAGUAGCUGAUGUGAGAGCAUGAUCAGCCACACGGGCACUGAGACACGGGCCCG
rnacentral:rRNA from 1 species